CCUACGUGAGGCAGCAGUGAAUGUACGGUACCUCAAAAGGAAGCACCGGCUAACUCCGUGCCAGCAGCCGCGGUAAUCCGUCGGGUGCGAGCGUUAAUCGGAAUUAAGGGGCGGAAAGCGCUCGUAGGCGGUAUGUCAAGUCAAGGGUGAAAUCCCCGCGCUCAACGUGGGAACGUCCUUGUAAACUGGCAAACUGGAGUGUGUGAGAGGAGAGUGGACUUCCAGGUGGAGGAGUGAAAUCCGUAGAUAUCUGGAGGAACCUCAGUGGCGCAGGCGACUCUCUGGCACAUAACUGACGCUGAGGCGCUCCAGCGUGGGUCGCACACAGGAUUCGAUACCCUUGUAGUC
rnacentral:rRNA from 1 species